rnacentral:rRNA from 1 species
GAUGAACGCUGGCGGCGUGCCUAAUACAUGCAAGUCGAGCGAACAGGCGAGGAGCUUGCUCCUCUGACGUUAGCGGCGGACGGGUGAGUAACACGUGGAUAACCUACCUAUAAGACUGGGAUAACUUCGGGAAACCGGAGCUAAUACCGGAUAAUAUAUUGAACCGCAUGGUUCAAUAGUGAAAGACGGUUUUGCUGUCACUUAUAGAUGGAUCCGCGCCGCAUUAGCUAGUUGGUAAGGUAACGGCUUACCAAGGCAACGAUGCGUGGCCGACCUGAGAGGGUGAUCGGCCACACUGGAACUGAGACACGGUCCAGACUCCUACGGGAGGCAGCAGUAGGGAAUCUUCCGCAAUGGGCGAAAGCCUGACGGAGCAACGCCGCGUGAGUGAUGAAGGUCUUCGGAUCGUAAAACUCUGUUAUUAGGGAAGAACAAAUGUGUAAGUAACUAUGCACGUCUUGACGGUACCUAAUCAGAAAGCCACGGCUAACUACGUG